ACGGCUCAGUAACACGUGGACAACCUAACCUGAAGAGGGGGAUAACCCCGGGAAACUGGGGAUAAUACCCCAUAGAUUAUGGAUGCUGGAAUGCUCUGUAGUUGAAAGGUCCGCCGCUUCAGGAUGGGUCUGCGGCCGAUUAGGUUGUUGUUGGGGUAACGGCCCAACAAGCCUGUAAUCGGUACGGGUUGUGGGAGCAAGAGCCCGGAGAUGGAUUCUGAGACACGAAUCCAGGCCCCACGGGGCGCAGCAGGCGCGAAAACUUUACAAUGCGAGCAAUCGUGAUAAGGGAACUCCGAGUGCCUGUAAAAUCAGGCUGUCCGCCAGUGUAAAUAACUGGUGAAGAAAGGGCCGGGCAAGACCGGUGCCAGCCGCCGCGGUAAUACCGGCGGCUCGAGUGGUGGCCACUAUUACUGGGCUUAAAGCGUUCGUAGCUGGUCUGUUAAGUCUCUGGGGAAAUCUUCCGGCUUAACCGGAAGGCGUCUCAGGGAUACUGGCAGACUAGGGACCGGAAGAGGUGAGAGGUACUCCAGGGGUAGGAGUGAAAUCCUGUAAUCCUUGGGGGACCACCUGUGGCGAAGGCGUCUCACCAGGACGGCUCCGACAGUGAGGAACGAAAGCUGGGGGAGCAAACCGGAUUAGAUACCCGGGUAGUCCCAGCUGUAAACGAUGCACGUUAGGUGUAUCGGUGACCACGAGUCACCGAGGUGCCGAAGAGAAAUCGUGAAACGUGCCGCCUGGGAAGUACGGUCGCAAGGCUGAAACUUAAAGGAAUUGGCGGGGGAGCAC
rnacentral:rRNA from 1 species